rnacentral:rRNA from 1 species
GACGAACGCUGGCGGCGUGCUUAACACAUGCAAGUCGAACGAGAAUCUGUGGAUCGAGGAUUCGUCCAAGUGAAGCAGAGGACAGUGGCGGACGGGUGAGUAAUAUGUAGGAAAUCUGCCCUAGAGAGGGGGACAACAGAAGGAAACUUCUGCUAAUACCCCAUAUGAGCUUGGUUGAAAUACCAAUCUUGAAAACUCCGGUGCUCUAGGAUGAGCCUGCACCUGAUUAGCUUGUUGGUGGUGUAAUGGACUACCAAGGCGACGAUCAGUAGCCGACCUGAGAGGUUGAACGGCCACAUUGGGACUGAGAUACGGCCCAGACUCCUACGGGAGGCAGCAGUGGGGAAUAUUGGGCAAUGGGCGAAAGCCUGACCCAGCAACGCCGCGUGAAGGAAGAAGGCCUCGUUGUAAUACUUUAUAGGUAGGAAGAAGUAGACGGUACCGUACCUUGUAAU